GACGAACGCUGGCGGCGUGCUUAACACAUGCAAGUCGAACGGAAAGGCCCUGCUUUUGUGGGGUGCUCGAGUGGCGAACGGGUGAGUAACACGGGAGUAACCUGCCCUUGACUUUGGGAUAACUUCAGGAAACUGGGGCUAAUACCGGAUAGGAGCUCCUGCUGCAUGUUGGGGGUUGGAAAGUUUCGGCGGUUGGGGAUGGACUCGCGGCUUAUCAGCUUGUUGGUGGGGUAGUGGCUUACCAAGGCUUUGACGGGUAGCCGGCCUGAGAGGGUGACCGGCCACAUUGGGACUGAGAGACGGCCCAGACUCCUACGGGAGGCAGCAGUGGGGAAUAUUGCACAAUGGGCGGAAGCCUGAUACAGCAACGCCGCGUGCGGGAUGACGGCCUUCGGGUUGUAAACCGCUUUCGCCUGUGACGAAGCGUGAGUGACGGUAAUGGGUAAAGAAGCACCGGCUAACUACGUG
rnacentral:rRNA from 1 species